ACGGGAGGCAGCAGUGGGGAAUAUUGCACAAUGGGGGAAACCCUGAUGUAGCGACGCCGCGUGAGUGAAGAAGUAUUUCGGUAUGUAAAGCUCUAUCAGCAGGGAAGAUAAUGACGGUACCUGACUAAGAAGCCCCGGCUAACUACGUGCCAGCAGCCGCGGUAAUACGUAGGGGGCAAGCGUUAUCCGGAUUUACUGGGUGUAAAGGGAGCGUAGACGGUUUGGCAAGUCUGAAGUGAAAGCCCGGGGCUCAACCCCGGUAUUGCUUUGGAAACUGUUGAACUAGAGUGCCGGAGGGGUAAGCGGAAUUCCUAGUGUAGCGGUGAAAUGCGUAGAUAUUAGGAGGAACACCAGUGGCGAAGGCGGCUUACUGGACGGUAACUGACGUUGAGGCUCGAAAGCGUGGGGAGCAAACAGGAUUAGAUACCCUGGUA
rnacentral:rRNA from 1 species